GGGCCCGCACAAGCGGUGGAGUAUGUGGUUUAAUUCGAUGCAACGCGAAGAACCUUACCAGGGUUUGACAUCCUGCGAAUCUCUUGGAAACAGGAGAGUGCCUUCGGGAACGCAGUGACAGGUGGUGCAUGGCUGUCGUCAGCUCGUGUCGUGAGAUGUUGGGUUAAGUCCCGCAACGAGCGCAACCCACGUCUUUAGUUGCCAGCAUUUAGUUGGGCACUCUAGAGAGACUGCCGGUGAUAAACCGGAGGAAGGUGUGGAUGACGUCAAGUCCUCAUGGCCCUUACGGCUGGGGCUACACACGUACUACAAUGCUACGGACAAAGAGCAGCAAGUUCGCGAGGACAAGCAAAUCUCAUAAACCGUGGCUCAGUUCAGAUCGUAGGCUGCAACUCGCCUACGUGAAGGAGGAAUCGCUAGUAAUCG
rnacentral:rRNA from 1 species